CCUACUUAAAAAAACAUGAUGUUCACUAAACUAACAAAAAGUGGUUGGAAAAUGUUGUCUUAAUUUUAUUAAGUUAUAUCUAUGUAACAGUUUUUACAGUGUAUAAUGUAAAUUGCGCACAUUUAAAAGCAAAAUUGAAUGGGCGAUGUCUAAGAAAUCCUGCUUGAUGCGUGUUAUUUCGUCAUUAGUGGUGGGUAAAUGG